AGGACGAACGCUGGCGGCGUGCCUAAUACAUGCAAGUCGAACGGUCUUUCUAUGGAAGCUUGCUUCCACUGAGAAGAUAGUGGCGGACGGGUGAGUAACACGUGGGUAACCUGCCCAUAAGAGGGGGAUAACAUCCGGAAACGGGUGCUAAUACCGCAUAGUUUUCUUGAUCGCAUGAUCGAGAAAGGAAAGACGGCCUUUGUGCUGUCGCUUAUGGAUGGACCCGCGGCGUAUUAGUUAGUUGGUGAGGUAACGGCUCACCAAGACGAUGAUACGUAGCCGACCUGAGAGGGUGAUCGGCCACAUUGGGACUGAGACACGGCCCAAACUCCUACGGGAGGCAGCAGUAGGGAAUCUUCCGCAAUGGACGAAAGUCUGACGGAGCAACGCCGCGUGAGUGAAGAAAGGUUUUCGGAUCGUAAAACUCUGUUGUCAGAGAAGAACAAGUCGGAGAGUAACUGCUCCGGCCUUGACGGUAUCUGACCAGAAAGCCACGGCUAACUACGUGCCAGCAGCCGC
rnacentral:rRNA from 1 species